GGUAUGCCGGUGCGCGCGGGCGCGGUAAGUAGGGGGGUGGCAGUGUUAAGAUAGUGUGCGGUGCGAAAAGAGUGCGUAGUCGGAGAAUGAAGUCAAUGUGGAAAAUCCCGAGGUUAACGUUGGAAUUGCAUCUGAGAAGCGGUAGGUAGAGUGUGGGAGAGGAUGGUAGAAUUGCAGGUGUAGCGGUGACAUGCGUAGAGAUCUGGAGGAAUACCGGUGGCGAAGGCAGCCAGCUGGCCUAAUACUGACACUGUGGUGCGAAAGCAUGGGGAGCAAACAGGAUUAGAUACCCUUGUAGUC
rnacentral:rRNA from 1 species